rnacentral:rRNA from 2 species
UUAACAAAAACAUGUCCUUUUGAAUAUUAUUUAAGGUCUAAUCUGCUCUAUGAUUAAUAUUAAAUGGCCGCGAUAUCUUGAUCGUGCGAAGGUAGCAUAAUCAUUAGUUUUUUAAUUGGAAGCUGGUAUGAAGGAUUGGACGAAGGGCUUUCUGUCUCUAUUAAGUAUUUUGAAUUUUAUUUUUGAGUUAAAAAGCUCAAAUGUUUUUAUUAGACGAGAAGACCCUAUAGAGUUUAAUAUUUUACAUAUUUUAUAAUAAUUGUGGGGUAGAAUUUUUAAAAUUUUUAAAUAUUUAGUUGGGGUGACGGAAAAAUUUUAUAAACUUUUUCUUUUUAGAAUAUUAAUUUAUAGGUUUUUGAUUUACUUAGGUAGUUAAAAGACUAAAUUACCUUAGGGAUAACAGCGUAAUUUUUCUAAAGAGUUCUUAUCGAAAGAAAAGAUUGCGACCUCGAUGUUGGAUUAAAGUUAAAAUUUGGUGUAGAAGCUAGAUGAUUUAGUCUGUUCGACUAUUAAAACUUUACAUGAUCUGAGUUUAAACCGGCGUGAGCCAGGUUGGUUUCUAUCUAUAGAAAUUUUAAAAUAUUUUAGUACGAAAGGACCAAUUAUUAAUUAAAUUAAUUUUAGUUUAAUAUAAAU